CGCCCCUCGCGGAACCCCGGCCUGUGCGCAGUUCCCGUGCCCUAGGAGUUGGCGGCGGGGCCCAGCCGAGAAUCUUCUUCCCUUCUGGUCUGACUAGGAAAGCCAGAGGGAGAUGGUGAAGGAGACACAGAGAGAGUAAAAGAACAGACCAUGCCCAGCCUCUCCACUGCAGGAGCUUGGAAUCAGUGAAGCAGAGUUGCCAGCCAUCUAUGGAUCCUAACUAAAUUGGUCCUUGUAAUACUCGGUAUUAUUUGCCAAGAUAUUGAAAAACCUCUAAACAGUGAGAAGGUCUGCAUACACUGGGGAACUUCCGGUGACUGCUGGGAUGCUGGCAUUGGUCUUUUC
rnacentral:lncRNA from 10 species